rnacentral:rRNA from 1 species
AUUGAACGCUGGCGGCAGUCUUAACACAUGCAAGUCGAACGGUAACGGGUUGAAAGCUUGCUUUCAAUGCUGACGAGUGGCGGACGGGUGAGUAAGGCUUGGGGAUCUGGCUUUUGGAGGGGGAUAACCAUUGGAAACGAUGGCUAAUACCGCAUAGUAUCGAGAGAUGAAAGGGGUGGGAAACCACUUGCCAAGGGAUGAACCCAAGUGAGAUUAGGUAGUUGGUGGGGUAAAGGCCUACCAAGCCGACGAUCUCUAGCUGGUCUGAGAGGAUGGCCAGCCACACUGGGACUGAGACACGGCCCAGACUCCUACGGGAGACAGCAGUGGGGAAUAUUGCGCAAUGGGGGGAACCCUGACGCAGCCAUGCCGCGUGAAUGAAGAAGGCCUUCGGGUUGUAAAGUUCUUUCGGUGGUGAGGAAGGUGGUAGUGUUAAUAGCGCUAUUGUUUGACGUUAGCCACAGAAGAAGCACCGGCUAACUCCGUGCCAGCAGCCGCGGUAAUACGGAGGGUGCGAGCGUCAAUCGGAAUAACUGGGCGUAAAGGGCACGCAGGCGGGACGUUAAGUGAGAUGUGAAAGCCCCGGGCUUAACCUGGGAACAGCAUUUCAUACUGGCGUACUAGAGUACUUUAGGGAGGGGUAGAAUUCCACGUGUAGCGGUGAAAUGCGUAGAGAUGUGGAGGAAUACCGAAGGCGAAGGCAGCCCCUUGGGAAGAUACUGACGCUCAUGUGCGAAAGCGUGGGGAGCAAACAGG